UCCAAAACGAAAAAGUCUCCCAACGUGCAUACCAUCCAUUUGCAUGUUGUUGUGAGCCACAUAGAAACUCAUACACGUGUGGUGGCAGCCGUCUGAUGUGCUUUAUCGUGCAGACAAUGGCUUAUGAGUGGCUGUGUGAUUGUUGAACAACGGUGACCAAUUUGGCGUCUACGCCGUAUCUAGCUUCUGCCUGGACCGUCGGUAGCGAUGAAAGAUGCGGAGGAAGUUCCUCUGUUUUGGUACGCUAAAGCAGAGUUGAGCAGACUUAAUGAGCCACGCUUGGUGGCCGCCAAAACCCAAAACACAACCAGUCUAUUUUAACGUUUGUUGAUAUGUUAAUGUA
rnacentral:misc_RNA from 1 species